rnacentral:lncRNA from 1 species
CAACUUGGGAAGGUCUUUUACCAGGUAAACACAUGCAUGUAAUAUAAAGUGUUAUUAAUUAUAUCUAAGCCAAAACUAUCAACUAAAAAAAAAAAAAACGUUUUGCAGUGGUUCAAAAUACCAGCCACCACUUGUAUUGAGCAAGAAGAUGACCUAUCUCUUGAGGAGUCAGUGUACAUUAUCAGAGAACUGGCUGCUGAACUGGACAGAGUGGUACAGUCCAAGAAGUUAUCCUUGAUGACUCGAAAGAUUAAAAAUAAAGGAAGUAACAAAGAACAUGAAGAACAACAGUAUUAUAUUUUGCAGUGGGCAAAAGAUCUUGAGAACAUAAAGACAAAACAAAUGGACAAGAAAGAGACCUCCUCUGAGCAGUUUAACAAAGCAAAAAAAAUCUUGUCUGACUGGUUUUGGAAACUGAAAGAUUUGAAACAGAACUCAGUAUGUCCAAAGGGGGGAUGGGAAGAAACACUGAGGGAUCUUCACAAAGAGUGGAAGCAGGGAGAGUCCAGCAUGCUUCCAGUAAUGGACUGGAUGGUAUGGGCUGUUCUACAGUCAGAAUGCUCUGAGGUAAAGAAUACAAAAGUUGAUCUUAUAAUGAAAUUUAAAGUUGAAGAAACCAAAAGAUACAAGUAUGCCUGUAUAACUGUAGUCCAU